GUGUGUGUGUGUAUAUAUGGUUGGGCAGUGUAUGCAGUGUGUGUGUGUAUAUAUAUGGUUGGGCAGUGUAUGCAGUGUGUUUAUAUACACACACACAUACACACUGCAUACACUGCCCAACCAUAUAUAUACAC